UAGAAAAUCCUCCUCACUGCACGUCAUCAGCCCAUGCAGCUAUGUGGCCUCUAGAAGCCACACCAGGCCUCUCCCUUACGACCAGCUGCCAUUUUUUCUCAGUCGUCGCUCACUUUUAAGCCAACGAAGGUGCUUGAUCUCCCAGCUUCGAUCGUCGGUAGCUUACCUCUGCCUCUCACGUGCUCAACGUUCAUCACACAUCCGCCAUCGCCUCCAACUGCAAGCCACCAAGCCUCCUGCUCGCAUGGAUGCGCCCUCUGGUCCUCAUCCUGUUCUGGCACAGGCGCCCUCUCCCAGCUCGUGCCGGCCAAUCUCGACGUCGGGCCUCUGUUCGCUGGUGGUCAGCGCUCACUGGGAUCGGCCUCAACACCGUUUCACCUCCACCAAGCCUCGCCGGCGUGCUCUCCUAGCCGCGGUCGGAUCUGGCCUCCUGCUUUCCCUCCGGUACCCUCUCGUUUCCAGCUCGUGGUGCCUCUGCUCCUCUCGACGCCUAGGUAGCCAUGGCGUCUCCUCCCCUUCCCUUCCUCUGCCAUGGACGCGAGCUCCAAGAUUCUGCUCGUCCAGGCCCCUUCCCAGGUGCUCCCGCUGAGCCCCUGGCCGAGUUUCUUUCCAUGGCCGCCGCAGCACCUGUUUCCUGCACGCUGGUCGCCCCUGCCCCCAGCCAUGGUGCCGUCAGGCCACCCGUCUCCUACCUCCCAACGCCAGCCCUACUCCCAUGGCCGCGCCCUCUCCUCACUUGAAGUCAGCAACAACGCCUCGGUAGUGGUCGAACAGCACGUCGUCGACUCCGUGAUUUUUGGGCAGCCUGGUUGCAGUGUCGUUAAACCCCGUCCUCCUUCGAAGACGCGUGACACUUGUUAGGUAUCAAAUAGAAAGACUGAACCGAAACUAUCGCCAUGUUCGCGGACACCGCGUCAAGUUUAGUCGUGGUACGUUAAUUGAUCACGUGCUAUGGAAGACGAGUGGAAUUGAUCUCCAAGUGAUGCUGAUGGACGAAGCUAAAAUGGAUGAAUCAACCAAGUGUCAGGAUGGAAGAUGCUCACCAAGUGGUCGUCAAUUAACAACACUAACAUAGUGUUUAUCCCAGGCAAGCCCCGGUGCAUUUGCCACCUCCUUGUUGUUUUAAAACUUUUAUCACUUAUAUGCUGCAUUAGGUGAUAGGAGUUGAGUGAUGAAACAAUUGAUGCAUUGCCAUUCCUUGGAAUUUGAUUAUCUUCCUUGAUUCCUAUUUUAUAAAGAGAACUAAUGAGGCUUAGCCCUGCUUAGAAAAACUAAAAGUUGUUCUUUUAAAAAGAAUGUUGUGCAACACUGGAUAUGGGUUUUAUGAAAAAGGAACUUGCAAUAAUGAAGGCAUCACUCGCGAUGAUGAAUUCAUUAUUCGAGUAUUGUACCUCUGUCAGGUACAUGGUUUGGGUGUUAAAUAAUAAGAUGAGACCAGACGUUGAGCAGGAAAAGUCGCCCGUCUGUGUCGACUAAGGACCGUACCGAAAGUAGGCUUGCUGAUCUAGGACCCUUUAACUGGCCACAUGCCUCAUCAUGGGUAAGCUUUGCCUCGGUCGGACCAAUACCAGAACAGCUCGCACGCACUGGGAGUGGAGAGAUGGCGAGAGUAGCUUGUACCCUCCGUGGCAAGAGACUGGAAGGUGGGGUGCUGUACUCUCGGAAACAUGGCGGGCACCAUGCGAAAGUAACGUGUACCAACCAGGCCCAUGGCUGGACGGUGGAGUGCUGUGCUCUCGGGUCGCGUGAACCCGUUCUGGUCUUGAGAAACCCGGUGGCGAGUUGACAUAUGCAAGGGUUAAGUGCUACAUAUGUCGUGUGGUUGGAGAUCCUCAGCUGAGUAUUAAUCGAUUCGGAUCGCCGUUACUUCUCGGAUAUGAAGACUGGAUCACUGCCCUGCAUCGUAGAUAACAAGUGAAACUAAAGCUGCUAAAAUGAAGCUAGUAUAGGACAAGUGAAUGCUCUAGAUUAGGCAAAUCUAGAUUCAGGAAAAGUACUUAACUUGUGAAGUAAAAUUUUGGCAUAAGGAUCCACUACUAGUAAGCUCUUCUGCAAAAUGAGUCUUUGAAAUUUGAUAAGCUUUACCUUGAUUCCCAAUAAACCAGCAUACCCUUGAGAGUCUUUUCUUUAGUCGGGUAAGUCUUGCUGAGUAAUUGUGUACUCAGGGUUUUAUUCCCUGUUGUUUUUCAGGUUAUAAUUUUGUUCUGUUGUGGAUGGUGCUAAGUGCCGGUGGGCUCGGCCUUCUUAUAUAAGUAUAUCCCAUCUUUAGCUUCUUUAUUGAGGAUUGUCACUUAAGCUAGCAUGUAUUUUAAAACCUAUAAAUAUUUUAUACAUUUUAAAUUGUAAUUCUUUUGAAUCA